rnacentral:rRNA from 1 species
AAACGAACUUGGAGAUAGCUGGUUCUCUCCGAAAUAGCUUUAGGGCUAGCCUCGCAAAGAGGAUGCUGGAGGUAGAGCUCUGUUUGGACUAGGGGCCCGUCAAGGGUUACUGAAUUCAGAUAAACUGCGAAUUCCAGACAUUUAUGUGCGGGAGUCAGACUGCGAGUGAUAAGAUCCGUAGUCGAAAGGGAAACAGCCCAGAUCACCAGUUAAGGUCCCAAAAUUCAUGCUAAGUGGAAAAGGAUGUGGAGUUGCGCAGACAACUAGGACGUUGGCUCAGAAGCAGCCAUCAUUCAAAGAGUGCGUAAUAGCUCACUAGUCGAGUGACGCCGCGCCGAAAAUUUACCGGGGCUAAGCAUGAUACCGAAACUGUGGAUGUGCGUUUAUGCACGUGGUAGGAGAGCGUUCUAGCGGCGGUGAAGCAUGACCGAGAGGACAUGUGGAGCUUCUAGAAGUGAGAAUGCCGGUAUGAGUAACGAAAGACAGGUGAGAAUCCUGUCCGCCGCAAGACUAAGGUUUCCUGGGGCAGGCUCGUCCGCCCAGGGUAAGUCGGGACCUAAGGCGAGGCCGAGAGGCGUAGUCGAUGGACAACAGGUUGAAAUUCCUGUACUGCACCGAAUCGUUAUGAGCGAUGGAGGGACG